AUACGUUAAAACAUCGGCUUCCGUACGAUCAUCCAAGUUAAGCAACAUCGAGCCUGGUCAGUACCUAGAUGGGUGGUCUCUUGGGAAUAUCAGG